rnacentral:rRNA from 1 species
GGGGGGGGCGGGGGGGGGGCCGGGGGCGUGCGGGGCGGGCGGGCGGGCGGGAGGGGGGCGUCUCUGACGUUAGCGGCGGACGGGGGCGUAACGCGUGGAUAACCUACCUAUCAGACUGGGAUAACUUCGGGCACCCGGAGCUACUACCGGAUACUAUUUUCACCCGCACGGUUCAAACGUCAAAUCCCGUCUUGCUGUCCCUUCUCGCUCGAUCCGCGCUGCAUUAGCUAGUUGGCAAGGUAACGGCUUACCAAGGCACCGAUGCAUAGCCGACCUGAGAGGGGGAUCGGCCACACUGGAACUGAGAAACGGUCCAGACUCCUACGGGAGGCAGCAGUAGGGAAUCUUCCGCAAUGGGCGAAAGCCUGACGGAGCAACGCCGCGUGAGUGAUGAAGGUCUUCGGAUCGUAAAACUCUGUUAUUAGGGAAGAACAUAUGUGUAAGUAACUGUGCACAUCUUGACGGUACCUAAUCAGAAAGCCACGGCUAACUACGUG